CACAUAUACACACAUGCAUGUACACCGAUAAGUUUAAGUAACUACAUGAACUCUACAUUGGACUAUAUUGAUUGGAAUCUGUAUGGGACUAUAUAAGGUAUUUGGAGGUUGUCUUUUUAGGAGACUGCAACUGUACCCUAAUUACAAUUUCCCUUCACUGGAACUAAGGGGCCCAAACCUGUUCCAGCAUGACAAUGCCCCUGUGCACAAAGCAAGGUCCAUGAAGACAUGUUUUGCUAAGGAUGGUGUGGAAUAACUCAAGUGACCUGAACAGAGCCCUGACCUCAAUCCUAAUGAGCUCCUUUAGGAUGAACUGGAAAGCUGACUGGAUCCCAGGCCUCCUCAUCUCACUAAUGCACUUGGGGCUGAAGGGGCAAAUCCCCUGAACCACACUCCAAAAUCUAGUGAAAAGCGUUCCCAGAAGAGUGGAGCCCUUAGGGGGGUGGUAGAGCCGGAGCCUAUCCCAGGAACAGUGGGUGUGAAGGGGGAGUACACCCAGGAUGGGAUGCCAGUCCAUCAGAAGGCACUAUGUACACACAUUCACACAUUCAUUCCCAGCUAGG